GGAGCAUGUGGUUUAAUUCGAAGCAACGCGCAGAACCUUACCAGCUCUUGACAUCCCGAUCGCGGACAGUGGAGACAUUGUCCUUCAGUUAGGCUGGAUCGGUGACAGGUGCUGCAUGGCUGUCGUCAGCUCGUGUCGUGAGAUGUUGGGUUAAGUCCCGCAACGAGCGCAACCCUCGCCCUUAGUUGCCAGCAUUCAGUUGGGCACUCUAAGGGGACUGCCGGUGAUAAGCCGAGAGGAAGGUGGGGAUGACGUCAAGUCCUCAUGGCCCUUACGGGCUGGGCUACACACGUGCUACAAUGGUGGUGACAGUGGGCAGCGAGACCGCGAGGUCGAGCUAAUCUCCAAAAGCCAUCUCAGUUCGGAUUGCACUCUGCAACUCGAGUGCAUGAAGUUGGAAUCGCUAGUAAUCGCAGAUCAGCAUGCUGCGGUGAAUACGUUCCCGGGCCUUGUACACACCGCCCGUCACACCAUGGGAGUUGGUUUUACCCGAAGGUAGUGCGCUAACCGCAAGGAGGCAGCUAACCACGGUAGGGUCAGCGACUGGGGUGAAGUCGUAACAAGGUAGCCGUAGGGGAACCUGCGGCUGGAUCACCUCCUUUCUAAGGAAGCCGACCAUGGAUUACGGAUUACCGGACAUCCUGGUCACGCUUAUUAGAACAUAGAUGGCGCCAGUCAGGCGACCAUCGCAACACAUACGCUGUUGAGAUGUGUCUUCGGACACACCGCAGUAAGGCGAAUACCGCCGUCUACKUUUCUCUUUCUCUAAAAGACAAGGACCACGCUUUGGAGCGUCAAUCCUGGUUUGGCCUUGUGGCUUGACCGGAUGGGUGCUGCAGUGUUGUUCAACCCUUAUGGGCCCGUAGCUCAGUUGGUUAGAGCACACGCUUGAUAAGCGUGGGGUCGGUAGUUCGAGUCUACCCGGGCCCACCAUGUUUUGUCCUGACGCUGUCGCGCUCUUCGAGCGCUGCGCUCCGGACGGGCCGUCCCGUAGGGACGUGGGGCUCUGCCCCUGUUUGGUGGUUUACGGUUGGGUUCGUUGAUCCAGGUUCGCGGCCUUCGGGCUGAACGGAUUGGGGCUGUAGCUCAGCUGGGAGAGCACCUGCUUUGCAAGCAGGGGGUCAGCGGUUCGAUCCCGCUCAGCUCCACCAUUACGGUGCUUUGAAAAAAGCGCCUUUGGUGUUGAGGUUGGCGGAUUGAUUGCCUUGUCUUUAAGAGAAAUAAAAGUUUGCAUCGGCUCGUUUGAGCCUGAUGCCUGUUCUGAUUACAUUGUGAAGAGAAGAUAUGUCUGGAAGCUUCCAGGUGUUGAGGGUGAUCGAAAGAUCGUCUGAAACGUCCGAGCCCAGUCCUGUUAAAGCUGUCGACGGUCUAGCCGAUCCGAGACAGUGGAGGGGCUGGAGGUAGGUAGGAAGCUUGUUACUCAAGGCAUGUUUGUUGUUGGUUGUUGGAACCAUCGAAACUUCAAGUCCGCAAGGGUUUGGGGGUUUUGGUGUUUCUGCUGCCUCUGACGAAAUGUCGAUUGGCGUUGCCUGACCGCGCGUCACCGGACAGAUCUCGAGAAGCUGGUCUUAAGAUACGACCUCGAAGUGCACCGGCGUGCCUUCAUAUGGGGAUUGUAUCGAACACGUCGAUGGCAUCUGGAUUGGAUGUGGCUGUAAAAGGUAGCUGCAUCGCCCCUUCCCUUCGGGAAGGUGGCUUAAGGAUGGGCAUUGGCAAUGAGAACGAUCAAGUGAAAUAAGGGCAAUUGGUGGAUGCCUUGGCAUGCACAGGCGAUGAAGGACGUGAUACGCUGCGAUAAGCCGUGGGAGCUGCGAAU
rnacentral:sRNA from 1 species